rnacentral:rRNA from 1 species
CAGUAGCCACGGUAAUACGUAGGCGGCAAGCGUUGUCCGGAAUUAUUGGGCGUAAAGGGCUCGCAGGCGGUUUCUUAAGUCUGAUGUGAAAGCCCCCGGCUCAACCGGGGAGGGUCAUUGGAAACUGGGAAACUUGAGUGCAGAGGAGGAGAGUGGAAUUCCACGUGUAGCGGUGAAAUGCGUAGAGAUGUGGAGGAACACCAGUGGCGAAGGCGACUCUCUGGUCUGUAACUGACGCUGAGGAGCGAAAGCGUGGGGAGCGAACAGGAUUAGAUACCCCUGUAGUCCCUGUCUCUUAUAA